rnacentral:lncRNA from 1 species
CUCUGGGACAGGAGUCCCAGGUGUCUCUCCUAAGGUAGCGAAGCAAUAAAAAUUCCUUCUCCUUUUUCUCAAAGCCACGUCCUCCUUAUUGGACUGGCGCUGGGACAGGUGUAACAGUGGCCACUUUAGGCUUUGAGUACAGCCCCGGCUGCUCUGCCCCUGCAACUAGUUUUUAAAAUGGACGUGUUUCUUUCUCUCUCCCUCCCUGCUCCUCCCUAAUCUCUCCCUUCCCUAAUCUCAGGGGCACCGGGAUCACCUUUCUUCCCCACCCUAGGCAGAGCUAUCUGUCCCUGAGCACACACCCACCAUUGGAAGGAAGUCGUCCAGACUUUGGGGACAGCCCCAGAAGACCUCGGAAAUGACUGUCUCCCCAGUUAACAAGUGGAUGUCAACUCCAGACAGAGGACUCGUGGGACGUAGCCUUUGAGUCACCUCUUUAAAAGCUCCCUGUUCCCCCCAUGGGCAGAAUCACAGCCUCUGGGACAGGAGUCCCCUGGGCUUCCCCGUAGCUAGGAGAACAAUAAAGC